AACUGAUUCAAUGUAUCCUUUCUUAGUCAGGUUUCGAAAAUGAAGAGAUCACAAACAACUGCUUUGAAGUCAAAGUUACAAUGGAUCCAAAUUUUCAAUUGGGCGAGGAGGCGGCCCUUAUCAAGCUCGCUCAAUCCAAAUGAGAGUUCUAGCAUGGAAUUGUCGGGGGUUAGUGAGACCCUCGGCAAUGCAAGCCUUACACACUUGGUAAGGAGCGAAAAACUAGAUUGUAUAUUUUUUAUGGAGACAAAGGUUAGUAAUGAAACUAUGAAGAAAUGUUGCAAAAACUUGGGAUUUGAAAGAGGAGAAUUCCUAGAGUCUUGAGGUAACGCAUGAGGAUUUUGUAUAUUGUGGAAAAAAGAGGAGAGGAUCUCAGUGAUUGAAGCAACUAACGAAAUUUUCGAGAAGAUGAUUUGGGAUGUAAGGAGUAAUGUCUUUUGGACACUAUUUGCGGUCUAUGGUACACCAUAUGUGGAUCGCAAAGAAGGAUUUUGGAACAAUUUGAAGAAUAGAGUGUUGCGAUGUGAGACUAGUUUGAUCAUCCUUGGGGAUUUAAAUGUGCUGCUCAAUGAAGAAGAUAAAUUUGGGGGGGGCAGCCAAAUUCGAAAAAGUGAUACUAAGGUGCUAAGAGAAUUCCUCAAUGACACAGGAGGGGUUGAUUUAGGUUUUGUUGGGUGUAAAUUCACUUGGCAGAAUAAGAGAUUUGUGCGUGGCUUGAAUAGAGAAAGAUUAUAUAGAGCUAUUGGCUCUCAUGAUUGGAUUGCUAAGUUUCCCAACGCAGGAGUGAGGAACUUCACAGUAAUAGUGUCGGACCAUGGACAUAUAUUUUGAUUCUUACUUGGACAAUUCAAAAGGUGGUCGACCAUUCAGAUUUUUUGAUGCUUGGGCUAGGGAGGAGAGUUGUAAAGCCUCAGUGGCAGAAGUUUGGCGAAGGGACAAUCAAGUUAGCCCGAGCAUGCAACUAUUCCAGAAUCUGGAUGCAACAAAAAAGGCAUUGUAGACCUGGAUCAAAGCAAAGUUUGGGGUGCCUGAAAAGAAGAUAAAAAUGACAGAAAAAAAGGUUUCAAUGGUUGCAGAAUCAAAACCAGAACCAAGAGCUUUUUGAGGAGGAGGCUCGGCUUUUCAAAGAUCUUAGUGAGCUAUGGAUUAAACAAGAGAGUAUGUGGAAGCAAAGAUUUAGAAAAAUAUGGUUGGUGAAUGGAGAUCGGAACACCAAGUUUUUUCAUACCUCAACUAUGGUUAGAAAAAGAAGAAACCACAUCUAGGCAAUAAGGGACAGAAAUGGCAAAGUCAAGGAGAGCAGGAGGGAGAUGGUAGGCAUUUUCAAUAAUUUUUUUCUUGGAUUUGUUCUCUUCUGAUCAACCUUGCAUUGAAACGCAGCUGGAAGAUCUUAUACAAGGUAAGGUGACGACAAAGGAUAAUGAGAGGUUGUGCCAGAUCCCAACAAGAGAAUAAGUGGUGAGAAUGGUGUUCGAUUUGCAUCCUCUUAAGGCUUCGAGGCCUGACGGUUUAUCGGGGUGUUUUUACAGGAGGUAUUGGGAUAUUACCGGGGAUAGUAUCUUGGCCUAUGUCCAGGAGCUCUUCAGAUUGGGUUGCUUUGAUCCAAAAUUGAAUUAUACAUACAUUUGUCUAAUUCCCAAAAAAGAGAAUGCAUACAUGGUAGAAAGUUUCAGACCGAUUAUUUUGUGCAAUUUCAACUAUAAGAUCAUUGCCAAAAUCUUGGCGAAUAGAUUGAGGAAAGUCAUGGAGAAGUUGAUAUCUCCCUUUCAGGCAGCCUUUGUUCCAGGAACAUGGAUAGUUGAGGCUUCGAUCUUAACACAUGAACUAAUUCAUACAAUAAAAAGGAAAAAGGGAAAAGGGGAAACAGUGGUGUAAUGGCGGUCAAGGUGGAUAUGCAUAAGGCCUAUGACCGUAUGGAGUGGUCCUUCCUGCUACGUGUUCUUAAAGCAAAUGGAUUCUCUCAACACUUUUGUAAGAUAAUUUCCUAGUGCAUCUUCUCAAUCUCUUUCUCAGUUCUUCUCAAUGGACUUCCACUGAAGAAAAUUGUACCGAAGAGAGGAUUAAGACAAGAAGAUCUUUUAUCUCUUUUUUGUUUCUUUUGGGAAACGAGGUAUUAUCAAAGCUUAUUUCUAAAGAUCAUAAUGCAAGACAUAUAAAGGGAAUCAAAGUAGCAUCCUCGACCCCAGCCAUUUCUCAUCUGAUGUUUGUGGAUGAUACGAUCCUCUUUGGUAGGGCUAAUACUGAUGAGGUUGAGAACCAAAUAAGGUGUUUCAAAUUGUAUGAGGGGUGAUCUGGCCAGAGAUGCAGCAAAAAAAAAAAAUACAGCGUCCUUUUUUCAAAAAACAUAUCUCAAGCUACAAAAGGGGAGAUUAUGAAGAGGUUGCAAGUUGAAGAAUCGAAAGAAACUGAAAAACAUCUAGGCAACUCGUUUGUGUUCAAAAGAAGGAAGAGACAAGAUUAUGAGAGACUAAGAGAAGCAGUGAUGAAAAGACUUGAAGGAUGGAACAUGAAGACUAUGUCUUUUGCCAAAAAACAAGUUAUUAUUAAUUCAGUGGUUUCUAAUGUUCCCAUUUAUGCAUGUCAACGUUCAAGAUCCCCUUCUCAAUUUUUAUAGAAAUGGAUAAUCUUACAAGGAGAUUUUGGUGGGCAGGGGGCAUAGAAAGAAGUCGAUUUUUAGCAACAAAGAGUUAAGAUAGAAUUUGUCAACCCAAGGAAUGUGGGGGUCGGCUUUAGAAGAUUUGAAGACAUGAAUAGAGCCCUACUGGCAAAGUUAGCGUGGCGGGUUUUGGCUGAAGAAAAUAGGUUGUGGGUGAAGGUCCUUAAAGCCAAAUAUUGCAGAAAAGAGAAAUUAUGGACAGUGGAUAGUAAACACAGAGAUUCCUACGUCUUGCGAGGCAUUCUAUAGGCUAGGAAUAGUUUCUUGAAGUCUAGUUGUAUGAUAAUUUCUUCUGGCAAAGACAUUGAUCUUUGGACACAGUCGUGGAUACCUUGGUUGAGCAUCACUAAAUUCAGAGAGUUUAUGGGAAGCAAAAGAAGAGAAGUGCCACAACUGUCUAAGGUUUGUGACUUAUUCAUCCCAAAUAAACGGGAAUGGAAUUGCCAAUUACUGCUAGAUAUAUUUGGAGAGGAAAUGGCAAAAGAAAUCAAUAAGAUCCAAAUUGUAGCAUUUGGAGAAGAAGAUAAAGUUAUAAGGAAACCAAAUUGUCAAGGGAAAUUCAGUGUGAAAUCUGCCUACAUUGAAGACCAUAAAAGCAGAUUUGGUGGCAGCGAAAAUGUAUGGAAAAAUAUUUGGUACUCGGGCAUCCAUCCAAGAUUGAGCAUAAUUUUAUAGAGAUCAUUAGCUGAAGUGCUGCCAACUAAAGAUAAGUUGGCUUUUCUGCAGGACAAAUGAUGUUUUUUCUGUGACGAGUUAGAAGAAACUCAUCUUCAUUUGCUCUGCACGUGUGCGUUUGCUAGGGUAAUUUGGUAUGCCAAUCCAAUUAACAUCAUAAUAGACCUAGUUCAGGGAAAUUCAGUCAAAGAAGUAGUCCAGGAAAUGGUGGAGAAGAAUCAUAGCAUGGGAAUGAAGGGUCUGCUUGUGUACAUAGCUUGUGUGUUGGAUUUGAUAUGGAAAAUGAGAAAUGAAAGAUACAUAAGUGGUACGCUGCCUUGUCUGCAGUCCAUUAUUCAACAAUUUCAAGAAAGAUGCAGGGAGUUUACGGAAGUGGGGCGAGAUCAAGAUAAGCUUGAGGCUCCCAUGCACCUAAGAGAGCUCAACAAAAAAGGAAUUCAGGAAGUCAAUGUUGCAAUCUGUGUUGAUGUUUCCUUUUAGGAUGGCAAGGCUAGGAUAGCGGUUGUGGCAGUUUAAAGGAACAAGGAAGGUUGAACUGCUAAGAUAGAUAAGGUUGAAGUAUCUAAGGCAAUGCAUGUAGAGUUGUUAGAUAUGAGGAUGGCUUUGAAUUGGGCAGUGAAAAAUGGUUGGCUUCGCAUAGUCAUUUUUUCAAAAUGUUUAAAGUUGGUAAAUUCCCUCAAUGAUAAUCAGAGAGUACCAAAUUGGAGCAUGUGGAGUUACUACAAUGAUGUUUUGAAUAUUUCGUCUCAAUUUCAUUCUUGUUGUUUUAAGUAUGUUAGUAGGAAAGACAACGUAUUAGCAGAUUGUUGGGCAGAGAAAGCUAGAGUAGCUAGCUCAACUGUCUGUUGUAUCUAGGUGAGGGUACCCCUCUUGUGGUUCCCAUCUUUUAAGAUGAUUGGUAGAGUUGUGGACAUUUUGAGAAGGAUUUGAAGCUUGAAGUGGAAUCGGGAUUGUGGGAUGCUGCAGUAUCACGUUGCUCUAGAUAUCUACUUGGAAGACCCACGUGGAUAUCUAAUCCAUUAGUGUUAUCCAUCAGUUUUUGGAUUUUUAUGAUUUGGGCUGAGCAAUAAUUAAAGUGGUAUUGAGCCUUUGCUUUUCGUUGGGUCCAUUAGCUUACAAAGAUAACGAAAAUAAAAGGAGGAGGAGGCCCACGCGGGGAGUAAAAAAAAAAAGGGUAAUGACCUAAUUUCCUUGACCAUUAACCUUUUCCUUUUUUUGGAGAGACACGCGUACAACAACCAUUAGAGAGAGAAGUAGAGAAUGAAGAAGAAGAAAAGGAAAAAAAGAAAGAAGAGGAAGGAGAUUCAAAGAGGAAGACAAGAAGAGAACCACUUGGGGACACCCUAUUGGGGCUUGAUUUUCUCAUCCUUCUCUUAGUAUUUACUUUCUUUUCUUUUCUUUUAUUUUUCUUGACAAUGUUUGCAUUUAUUAUUAGUAUUUUGGAUAUUUUAAUUAUGAGGUAAACUUUUCAUAGCUAGAAUUGUUAAUGAACCCUAAUGUGUGAUUUUGGAACUUUGUUAAUGGUGUUAAUGUAAAAUUGGGUUUUAUUCAUUCAAGUGGUUUUAAUCUUA